rnacentral:rRNA from 1 species
UACGUAGGGUCCGAGCGUUGUCCGGAAUUACUGGGCGUAAAGAGCUCGUAGGUGGUUUGUCGCGUUGUUCGUGAAAACUCACAGCUCAACUGUGGGCGUGCGGGCGAUACGGGCAGACUGGAGUACUGCAGGGGAGACUGGAAUUCCUGGUGUAGCGGUGGAAUGCGCAGAUAUCAGGAGGAACACCGGUGGCGAAGGCGGGUCUCUGGGCAGUAACUGACGCUGGAGGAGCGGAAAAGCCGUGGGGGAGCGAAACAGG